GGGAACGUAGCGCAAUUGGAUAGCGCGUCAGCUUGCGAAGCUGAAGGUUGUAGGUUCAAGUCCUGCCGUUCUCG
rnacentral:tRNA from 1 species